rnacentral:rRNA from 1 species
UGAGGAAUAUUGGUCAAUGGGCGAGAGCCUGAACCAGCCAAGUCGCGUGAAGGAAGACAGUUCUAAGGACUGUAAACUUCUUUUAUACGGGAAUAACGGGCGAUACGAGUAAUGCAUUGAAUGUACCGUAAGAAUAAGCAUCGGCUAACUCCGUGCCAGCAGCCGCGGUAAUACGGAGGAUGCGAGCGUUAUCCGGAUUUAUUGGGUUUAAAGGGUGCGUAGGUUGUUCGGUAAGUCAGCUGUGAAACCUGAGCGCUCAACGUUCAGCGGUCCGUUGAAACUGCCGGGCUUGAGUUCAGUGGAGGAAGGCGGAAUUCGUGGUGUAGCGGUGAAAUGCAUAGAUAUCACGAGGAACACCGAUUGCGAAGGCAGCUUGCCAUACUGCGACUGACACUGAAGCACGAAGGCGUGGGUAUCAAACAGG